ACAGUUGAACGAAUCUGUCGCUGAUUUCGUAAUGAAAUAAGAGGAACUUCCGGGCAACAAAGAGCACCAUACUUCUUAACGAGAAGUUAUCCGUGAGGAUAAAGCAGUGUAACAGAAAAUGACCGCUUUGUAUUUUUGUACAAAGUAAGGGUGAAAAGGUGGGGUAAGAGCCUACCGAAAGAAUAGCGAUAUUCUUUGUCCGUACACCUUAUGGGUUGCAAUACCAUGUAUACCGACGCAUAUAUGUAGAGUUGCUCGCUCGAUGUCGGGGGGUAGGUAGCUGGAGGCGUUUAGUGAUAAACGUCGUAGAUAAAUGACAGAUGGUGCAUUUUUUUUGCAUUACAGAACCCGGGGUAUUGUUUAACUGUACUU
rnacentral:RNase_P_RNA from 1 species